ensembl:lncRNA
CAACGGACAACAGAUGAAAGGCUACGGUAUGAAACACACACACACACGCACACACACACAAAAAUUGUCAUUACAGUAUCAGAGUUUAAUUUUCCUUCUUUCUUCCUCACAAAACAUUGGAAUCUCUAUGCAGCAGGAGGAAGUAGACCUAUUAAAGGAUAUGGACGACCAUUUUAUGGCUCAGGUCCAGGUGUGACAACGGGAGGCUACGCAGGUAUGGGAGCACCUCAGCCAAGGAACCAAGGAUACAAUGGUGGUUACGGCAGCGCUGGUUUGGGUCUGGGAGCUCGCUUUGGAAAUGGAGGAAUGAAAGGACCAAAGCUUGGUUACGGGAAUAUUCCAAAUGGGUAUGGCGCCAGAUCCAACGGUGAGAUUUUUUUUUU